rnacentral:rRNA from 1 species
CCUACGGGCGGCAGCAGUGAGGAAUAUUGGUCAAUGGACGAGAGUCUGAACCAGCGAAGUAGCGUGAAGGAUGACUGCCCUCUGGGUUGUAAACUUCUUUUAUAUGGGAAUAAAAUGUUCCACGUGUGGGAUUUUGUAUGUACCCUAUGAAUAAGGAUCGGCUAACUCCGUGCCAGCAGCCGCGGUAAUACGGAGGAUCCGAGCGUUAUCCGGAUUUAUUGGGUUUAACGGGAGCGUAGGUGGGUUGUUAAGUCAGUUGGGAAAGUGUGCGGCUCAACCGUAAAAUUGCAGUUGAAACUGGCAGUCUGGAGUGCAGUAGAGGUGGGCGGAAUUCGUGGUGUAGCGGUGAAAUGCUUAGAUAUCACGAAGAACACCGAUUGCGAAGGCAGUUCACUGGACUGCAACUGACACUGAGGCUCGAAAGUGUGGGUAUCAAACAGGAUUAGAUACCCCUGUAGUC